ensembl:snRNA LOC120094938 U1 spliceosomal RNA
CUACUUACCUGGCAGGGGAGGUACUGUGAUCAUGAAGGUGACUGUCCUAGGGUGAGACUUAUCCAUUCCCCUCCAGAUGUGCUGAUCCCUGCAAUUUCUGUAAACGCCAGAAGCUUGCAUGCAUAAAUUGUGGGAGUGGAAAGCUGUUUUCAUGCUCUCCC